UGGCCCGUUGGUCAAGCGGUUAAGACACCGCCCUUUCACGGCGGUAACACGGGUUCGAAUCCCGUACGGGUCAUGUU
rnacentral:tRNA from 1 species